ACAUCACAGUUCAGUUCUUGUCAUUUCAUCUCUGCCGUUCAAAUCCAUCGUGUUCUCCGCCCACCUUCGAAUCCAUAGAUUUCGCCGUUGCCAUCGGUUUUUACUUUUAGGGCUUCCUUUAGGUUUCUGAUUUAUUUAUUCGAUGUCUUUAGAUCCGGUGGACAGGAGGAUCGGACGGCUUAAUCUCGCCCUACCAUCGAAAUCCCAGUUCCUAGUUCAGCGUUUGCACUUGUCCUUUGUUCAUCAUUAGCUUUUAGUUCACUUCAGGCUAUGGAUCUGAGGACUCCGAUGAGUUCUCUCUAAUUGGAAAUAUUUUUGUUUUCAUUCUGUUGGUUAUUCAUUUCUUGUUUUUUUAUUUUGAUUUCACCUUUAUUGACUGGGUCGUGUGGUAACCGCAAGUUUUAUCGAGUUUUAUGCUGUUUACAAGGCUUUUGUGGAACUGUGGGGAUUUACGCUGUUUCUAUUUCAAGAUGGUGUUUUUUUGGAUGAAUUUCAUGCUUUUGAAUUUAAAUGUUAAAUUUAUCAGUUAGCAUAAAAUUCUUUAAUUUAGCUUGUUUCUUAAAGUUUUCAUCUUGUACUUGUAGGUUGGACUGUUUUCUCAUAAAUGAUCUAAAUGAUUGAUUCUAAUUUAUACCACUGUGAACUCUAUGUUUGUUUUGAUUGCUUUAGUAUCUUGAUUAUUGUUAUUAGUGGUUGUCUUUCUUACCCUGUUCAUCAGAAUCGAACCUGCCCAAUGAUGAAAAGCUCAUUUCUGGAGCUGUUAAGUUGAUUCAUAUCACAAGCAUUUGCCCUCAACCACAACUUUUUCUCUCUCUCUCUCUCUCUCUCUCUCUCACCCAAUCUCCAUCAACCUAUCUGUCUCUUCCUUUCGCUUUUGCCUUUUGUUUAAUUAUUAUAGUGGUUGCUGUUGUGUGGAGGCUAGUGAUGAAAAUCAAAUUUCGGCUGAGGGCAUCUUGCAUUUUGUCUUUGCUCUUAGAGACGAGCUUAAUUUUUUUCCCUGAUUUUUCCCAAUUUGCACGAUUACCUUGGAUUGACUAUUUAUUGUAAAUAAUGUCCCACUGUACUUAUUGUAUUCUUAGUUGCUUUUCAGGAUGGUUGCUUGAUCUAGACGCUGUGAAAUCUUGAAACAUUGAACUAAAGCCAAAUAACGGCUGCAAAGGUGUGCCUCGCUUCACUCAGGCCUCGCUUUUUUAUCGCCUCUCGCCUUGAGGAGCGCCUUGUGCCUUGAAAACACUGGUUUUUAGUGUUGCAGAAAUUCAUGCCGAUGCAUUUGCAUUAUGUCGAUGUUUAAGGGUGGCGAAUGAAAAGUAAAUAUCGUCUGAUAAAGAAUCAAUCUUUUGGGGUUUUGGACUGAGCAUGGAGAAACAGAAGAAUAGAGUGGUUGAAGAUGAGUAGAGGCUAGUGUGAGAAUCAAAUGCAAACACAGUCAAUGAAGAACUGAGCUAUGAGAUCUGAGGGCAUUGUUUGAAACUGUCAUCAUUUUUAAUGAUGGUGCACGUGAAUUGUGAUACUUUUUUCACCUACAAUUAAUUAAUUUAUCGUUGGAUUAAAUGCAUUACUAUUAUCCUAGUUAUGGUUUUAGUUGUUUUCCUAUUUCUCUCCCGGAUAUGGUAAAGCUGCUACGUAUUUAUUAGUUUCUGCCUAACAUUAAUGUGAAUUGUAUAGUGACCAUUUGACAGGUAUGAAUGAACGUCCCAAUACUGUGUUAUAUACCGUUUGGAGCCCUUGCGUGUAUCGGCGUCGUCUUCUUUGCUCAAGUCUUUGAUGUUUGGUUGGUAUUUAUUCAUGGAAUUUGGUAAGCUUAAUUUUGCCCAAUGAUGGAAACACAAUCUAUUGAGCUGUUGUAAAUGGCCUUUUUUUCAUCAUUAGCCUGUGCUCACCUACACUACCAUCAUCACUACCAACUCCGCCAUCCGCUAUCACCGCUGCCACCAUCUUUUUCUUUUCUUUUAUUUCAUAUACAUACAUAUAUAUACACACAUCGUUGUUGGUGUUGGCAUGGGCUUCUGAUGAACGCCAUUUACGUCAAGCGUGAUUGAUUGAAUUUAAGCUAUGAGAUCUGAGGGCUUUAUUUUAUGACUUUUCCAAAUGGAGCUUGAUUCUAGUCUAGACUUUGGCAUGCGUGCAUUUGGUUGUUCCCCUUCUGCAGUUUCUGCGUGUCUGGUGCUUGGAGAGGGUAACAUUAUGUUGCGCUUCAUCCAAAAUAUGGCCUUAGGUGGCCUUUAUAUUGAUUUUUUUUUUCUUUUUCAUGUUUCUGUUAUAUAUUAAAUUUUUUUGCUGAUUGUUAGAUUUUAGGUAAUGUUGUAUAAUAUGAUGAAAUACUGGCCUUGGAGCGGUUGGCCACUAUUAAAUCUUUAUAGAAAUGCAGCCUAGGAAGCUUAUACUCCGACCCAUUUGAAUUCAUUUUGUCAUAAAGUUAGAUUUUAUAAUUUUGGACUAUCUAUGAACUUAAUUUCUUGCUUUUUUAUUGUUUGGUUCUGUAACAUUUUAUAUUAUUGUAUUUCCUUAUUAGUUGCACUGUAUAUUGGCCAUGGUAUUUCGCCUGCGAUUCUUUAGCUGAAUUAACAUCUACAUGAUCAAACUUCUAGGUCUGUUUCCUCAUAGACGAGUUUAAUAGUUUAUAAUGCCUAUAAUCUUGAACUUUACUUCGACUGCUUUCGGAUCUUGAUGUUUCUUGCCAAGUGCUGAUGCUGCUGCAGAAGUUCAUGCUGAUGCAUUUGAAUUUGUUUCUGUGGCAAUGUUUAAGAUGUAUCGAGGCGGUGGCAAAUCUAAAGAACAUUGUCUGAUAAAAAAUCUAUCUUUGGGGUAUGGAAGGUACCAACCAAAAAUGUUCCGAUGGGGUAACUUUUGCCGCAUAUUUGGUCUCGUGAAGGUAAUAGUUGGAGUGUUGAGUGGAUUUGGGGCAAGCCCUACUUUGAUAAUUAAUCAUCUUUCAAAAUGCUAAAAUCAGAAUUCUUGAA